GCGCAAAUGGUUUAGUGGUAAAAUCCAUCGUUGCCAUCUUCUUCACGAUCUUCGCGGAUCUUAAAGGAAAAAUUGAUUCGAUGGGCCCCCGGUUCGAUUCCGGGUUUGCGCA